UGGCUCAGAGGUGAAAGCAUCUGCCUGGAAUGCUGGAGACCCAGGUUCGAUCCCUGG
rnacentral:tRNA from 1 species